rnacentral:lncRNA from 10 species
CAAAAAACAGUGGAAAUGUACUCUCUCACAGUUCUGGAGGCCAGAAGCCCCAAACCAAGCUGUCAGCAGGCCCUUGCUCCAUCUGAGACUCGGGAUGGAAUCCUUCCUUGUCUCUUUCUAGCUUCCAGUGGUGGGCGGCAAGCCUUGGCAUUCCUUGGUUUGCAGACACAUCACUGUAAUCGCUGCCUCUGUCAUCACAUGGUGUUCUCCCUGUGUGUCUCUGUCUGUGUCUCUUCC